rnacentral:rRNA from 1 species
UAUGUGAUCGUCUCUCGCAUAUCAAUAAGCGGAGGAAAAGAAACUAACAAGGAUUCCCCUAGUAACGGCGAGUGAAGCGGGAAGAGCUCAAAUUUGAAAUCUUAAAGGGUUUCCCUUUACGAAUUGUAGUUUAAAGAAGUGUUUUCUGUUGAGGUUUAGGUAAAAGUUCUUUGGAAUAGGACAUCAUAGAGGGUGAGAAUCCCGUAUUUGACCUUUACUUUCAACUUUGUGAUACACUUUCAAAGAGUCGGAUUGUUUGGGAAUGCAGUCCAAAAUGGGUGGUAAAUUUCAUCUAAAGCUAAAUAUUGGCGAGAGACUGAUAGCGAACAAGUACCGUGAGGGAAAGAUGAAAAGAACUUUGAAAAGAGAGUUAAACAGUACGUGAAAUUGUCAAAAGGGAAGCGUUUGACACCAGUGUUGUUUUUCUGAAAAUCAACUAAAGAACUGUUUAUGCUAAGCUUGUUUAGACUUUAUCAGCUAUCUGCUUAGUUUUGAGCUUUUCUUUAAUGCACUUUUCAGUUAACAAGUCAACAUCAAUUUCUUUUGCUGUAAAAAAGCUUGAGGAAGGUGGCUUGAGAUUCGUCUUAAGUGUUUAUAGCCUCUUGCCUAUGCAGUCGGAGAGAUUGAGGUCUGCAGCGUAGAUCCUUCGGGGCUAAAUGCAUUUGUGCUAAGUUAUAGCAUUUUAUAGACAACUUGUUGACUAUGAUUUGUCUUGUAGCUUACUCGCUUAUGUUAUUUUACCUACGCUUAGGAUGUUGAACGCGCACAGAGUCUC